AUUGAACGCUGGCGGCAGGCCUAACACAUGCAAGUCGAACGGUAGCACAGAGGAGCUUGCUCCUCGGGUGACGAGUGGCGGACGGGUGAGUAAUGUCUGUGAAACUGCCUGAUGGAGGGGGAUAACUACUGGAAACGGUAGCUAAUACCGCAUAACGUCGCAAGACCAAAGAGGGGGACCUUCGGGCCUCUUGCCAGCAGAUGUGCCCAGAUGGGAUUAGCUAGUAGGUGGGGUAACGGGUCACCUAGGCGACGAUCCCUAGCUGGUCUGAGAGGAUGACCAGCCACACUGGAACUGAGACACGGUCCAGAGUCCUACGGGAGGCAGCAGUGGGGAAUAUUGCACAAUGGGCGCAAGCCUGAUGCAGCCAUGCCGCGUGUAUGAAGAAGGCCUUCGGGUUGUAAAGUACUUUCAGCGGGGAGGAAGGUGUUGUGGUUAAUAACCACAGCAAUUGACGUUACCCGCAGAAGAAGCACCGGCUAACUCCGUGCCAGCCGCCGCGGUAAAAC
rnacentral:rRNA from 1 species